UACCCCUAACUCAUCUUACAGACCUCUCAAACCCUAUUCUCCUUACCCUAAUCCUUCGCUGCCGCCGGAAAUCGCCCACGGCGGCGGCAUUACUCCAAUAAACCCCAAAAUGUCAUCCCAUAACCCUUGUUAUCUCCUCGUUCUUUUCCUACCAUUAGUUUCGUCAAAAACCUCCUAUAUUUGCUUGAUUUUUAGAUCUAAAAGGGAAGAACCCUAAUCCUUUUCUUUUAUUGAUUGCUUCUGAAUCUAGGUCGUGUGACGAUGAAAUUUAUACCAAUCGAUUAAUCUCAUUGGUGACUAUCAAUUGGUAUCAAUCUCGAUUCGACUAAUGGUCACCAGAACUUGAUUAAAACCUGGUCGACCGGCCAGAACUUUGGAGCUCCCAUAACUAUGAUUCUCUUGGUCGGUGUAUGCCGGAUAUCAUCACAUAUAGCAUUGGCUAUGCCUCGAGUGUGAGCUAGUGCUCGUGUGGCGAUGCCGGCUAUUAACCGAACUUUUUUUUUUCCGGCAGCAUUAUCGUCUACUGUUAGUCUUUUCUUCUCAUCUUUCAUUCCCUAGAAUUGAUGAUUCGCCGUUUAAUUGUUAAUCAUUAGUUAAAUCAUAAUUUUGCUUGACAGCAUGCUAAGGUUAAUAGUUAGUCACUAGUAAAUUAUUUUAAUCUUCUGAGUAACUACUUGUUGAAUUGAAUCUGAAGUUGGUCAAUUGAUAAUUACUUGUUGGUUUGAAUUGCAUAUCUACUUAAUCAACUUGUUUAAUCAGUUGUUGAGUCAUGUUUAGCUUAUGUUUGUUAGCUUACUGUUAAUUCAGUUUAGUUAAUUGCUACCUGUUAAACGUUUGGUUCUGAUAUGAGAAAGAGGGCAGUAAUUUUAGGUACAGGGUAGUAAAAUGAUGAGUUAAAAGAAAAGGCUAAACGAAGGGUGUUAACAUAGACUUGAGAGAGUUAAAGGAAAUAAGAAAAUGAGAGAAAACUUCUAGAAAGGGAUAGUUGUCUUAAUUUGUUAGACAAGAUGCUGAAAUUAGAUACAGCUCUCCAUUUUCUGGUACAAAAAGAUGACAUUUCCCUGAAUUUAAGAGAAGGGUGGCAGAUUCUGUCACGACCCAAACCGAUGGGCCGCGAUGGGCACGAGGUACCUUACUCAAUCGAGUACCAACGUAACAUAUCUUUCUUAUUACAUCAUCAUAUACAUGUGACAUACGGGCCUAAUAGGCCAACAUCAUCAAUUAUAAACUCAAAACAUAGGCCGACAAGGCCGUACAAUCUUUCACAUACAUGACAUAUGUCUACAAACCUCUAAUAGUACAUAAAUAUCAUAAAGGUCGGGGCAGGGCCCCGCCAUACUAAUCAGUACAUGUCCUAAUCAUACUGACCACAUAAGAAACUCCGGAACAAAUGGAGUGUACCAACAUCUUCCGCUGAGCUGAUCGCCUACUUGGAGGACUCUCGACCUGUCUAUCGAGACCUGCGGGUAUGAAACGCAGCGUUCCCAGGGAAAAAGGACGUCAGUACAAAUAAUGUACCGAGUAUGUAAGGAAUGAAAAUCAGUAAAUAAUAUACAUGAGAGAAACAUGGAGUAAAAGACUUGACAUGUACGUCUGCAUAGCUCUGUGAAUCAUUUCAUUUUUAUAACAUCAUACGUAUACGUAUAAAUGUCAUACCAUGCAUAGGUAUAUGUGUUCUUAACAUCAUCAAGCCUUUGAGGGCAUCCUAUCAUAUCAUUUCGGCCACUGUGGGCAAAUCAUCAACGUAUACCAGCUGAUCAGGUGGUGGUGCGUAUAUAACGCCAUAACCUUUUUCUAUAUCCCAUAUACAUAUAAUAUACGCGUAUAUAACGCUUUCUUAUCAUGGGUCAAUGUAUAUGUAUAAAUGCAUGAAAUGCAUAAGAAAUACGUUAAUACGAUUUCUCGAAUAUCAUAAAAUCAAUAUGCCUUUCAGAAAACUUUAUCAAAUACGUAUUUUUCUAAGACCCAUGAACAGAGGAAAUAAUAAUAAUUCACAUAGUGAAAUCAAGAAUAUAGAGCCCUAGUAUUUCUAUGAAUAGAGUCAUUUAUGAGUGUGGCGUUGCCGGCUAUUACCCGGACUUCUUUUUUUUCCGGCAGCAUUAUCUUCUACUGUUAAUCUUUUCUUCUCCUCUUCAUUCCCUAGAAUUGAUGAUUCGCUGUUUAAUUAUUAAUCAUUAGUUAAAUCAUAAUUUUGCUUGACAACAUGCUAAGGUUAAUAUUUAAUCACUAGUAAAUUGUUUUAACCUUCUAAGUAGCUACUUGUUGAAUUGAAUCUGAAGUUGGUCAAUUGAUAAUUACUUGUUGGUUUGAAUUGCAUAUCUACUUAAUCAACUUGUUUAAUCAGUUGUUGAGUCAUGUUUAGCUUAUGUUUGUUAGCUUACUAUUAAUUCAGUUUAGUUAAUUGCUAUCUGUUAAACGUUUGGUUCUGAUAUGAGAAAGAGGGCAAUAAUUUUGGGUAUAGGGUAGUAAAAUGAUGAGUUAAAAGAAAAGGUUAAACGAAGGGUAUUAACAUAGACUUGAGGGAGUUAAAGGAAUUAAGAAAAUGAGAGAAAACUUCUAGAAAGGGAUAGUUGUCUUAAUUUGUUAGACAAGAUGCUGAAAUUAGAUACAGCUCUCCAUUUUCUGGUACAAAAAAAUGCCAUUUCCCUCAAUUUAAGAGAAGGGUGGCAAAUUCUGUCACGACCCAAACCGAUGGGCCGCGACGGGCACCCGUUACCUUACUCAACCGAGUACCAACGUAACGUAUCUUUCUUAUUAUAUCAUCAUAUACACGUGACAUACGGGCCUAAUAGGCCAACAUCAUCAAUUAUAAACUCAAAACAUAGGCCGACAAGGCCGUACAAUCUUUUACGUACACGACAUAUGUCUAUAAGCCUCUAAGAGUACAUAAAUAUCAUAAAGGUCGGGAUAGGGCCCCGCCAUACUAAUCAGUACAUGUCCUAAUCAUACUGACCACGUAAGAAACUCCGGAACAAAUGGUGUGUACCAACAUCUUCCGCUAAGCUGAUCGCCUACUUGAGGACUCUCGACCUGUCUAUCGAUACCUGGGGGCAUGAAACGUAGCGUUCCCAGGCAAAAGGGACGUCAGUACAAAUAAUGUAUCGAGUAUGUAAGGAAUGAAAAUCAGUAAAUAAUAUACAUGAGAGAAACAUGGAGUAAAAGACUCGACAUAUAUGUCUGCAUAGCUCUGUGAAUCAUUUCAUUUUUAUAACGUCAUGCAUAUGCGUAUAAAUGUCAUACCAUGCAUAGGUAUAUGUCUUCAUAACAUCAUUAAGCCUUUGAGGGCAUCCCAUCAUAUCAUUUCGGCCACUGUGGGCAAAUCAUCAACGUACAGCUGAUCAGGUGGUGGUGCGUAUAUAACGCCAUAACCUUUUUUUAUAUCCCAUAUACAUAUAAUAUAUGCGUAUAUAACGCCUUCUUAUCAUGGGUCAAUGUACAUGUAUAAAUGCAUGAAAUACAUAAGAAAUACGUUAAUAAGAUUUCUCGAAUACCAUAAAAUCAAUAUGCCUUUCAGAAAACUUUAUCAAAUACGUAUUUUUCUGAGACCCAUGAACAGAGGAUAUAAUAAUAAUUCACAUGGGAAAAUCAAGAAUAUAGAUACCCCUAGUAUUUCUAUGAAUAGAGUCAUUUAUGAGUGUGGCGUUGCCGGCUAUUACCCGGACUUCUUUUUUUCCGGCAGCAUUGUCUUCUACUGUUAAUCUUUUCUUCUCCUCUUCAUUCCCUAGAAUUGAUGAUUCGCCGUUUAAUUGUUAAUCAUUAGUUAAAUCAUAAUUUUGCUUGACAACAUGCUAAGGUUAAUAUUUAAUCACUAAAAAAUUGUUUUAACCUUCUGAGUAACUACUUGUUGAAUUGAACCUGAAGUUGGUCAAUUGAUAAUUACUUGUUGGUUUGAAUUGCAUAUCUACUUAAUCAACUUGUUUAAUCAGUUGUUGAGUCAUGUUUAGCUUAUGUUUAUUAGCUUACUAUUAAUUCAGUUUAGUUUAUUGCUAUCUGUUAAACGUUUGGUUUUGAUAUGAGAAAGAGGGCAAUAAUUUUGGGUAUAGGGUAGUAAAACAAUGAGUUAAAAGAAAAGGUUAAACGAAGGGUGUUAACAUAGACUCGAGGGAGUAAAAGGAAAUAAGAAAAUGAGAGAAAACUUCUAGAAAGGGACUACUGUCUUAAUUUGUUAGAAAAGAUGCAGAAAUUAGAUACAGCUCUCCAUUUUCUGGUACAAAAAGAUGCCAUUUUCCUGAAUUUAAGGGAAGGCUGGUAGAUUCUUUGGAGCUGAUCUGAUUCCUUCAUAAAGCUCUCAUAUAUUCUAUAUAAUAGAGGAAUUCUUUGCAGAUUUUACACACAGUAAAAUCCCAGAAAAAUCUAAAAUUUCCUUUUCAUUUAACACUGAUCCUGCACUGAUUUUUUAGAGUCCUCUUUUCUUCACUUUCAUUUUAGCAAAGAAAAUUCUGGAAAACCAACUCUGGGAUUUCAGAAACAAAAAUAAAAAUAAAUACUCUCUGAAAAUCUGAAAUUUCACACGUUAACAAGAAGAAAUCUGGGCAUUUCUGGAAAGAAUCAGUGUUCAUCGACACUGUUUCAUUGUUUUUCUUUUGGUUCAUUUCUGGAUUUUUGAGAUUGAGCUUCAAAGCAUUCUUGUGUUGUUUCUACUGUUUGUGUGCUUGCUGUUGCUUCUUCUCAGAAUUUCAGAGAUUUAUUUUCUCUUUUACUUACCUUUGUUGCUUUAAGGUAUAUAUUGAUAAACUUUGUACGAUUCUGAACUUAGCACAAUCACAUUAAGCUUGAAAUCUGUGAAUUUUAGAUGGUCGUUGUGCUUACAUGAUGUUUUACCUUCUUUAUGAAUUGUUCUAAAAAAGGUUUGAAUGACUUGAAAUGAGAAGGUCUAACUUUGUUGAUCCUACUGUUGCUCAUGAAUUAUUUCAAUAACAUGUUAUCUUUUUAGUUUACUCAUGUUUCAAGCCUAAUGUCAUAGAUAGGCCAUUGAUCUAGCUUAAAGGUUCUUUCAGGUUCAAAACAUCUCCAUGUCUAAUUGAUUGUACCAUGAAUAAUGACGUAUUUACUGGAAAUAGGUGAUUCAUGUUUGAAAUAGUGUUUGCAGGGGGCUGAUCAGUAAGAAUCAGUUUGUUUUGAUGUUUUGAGUUUAAAGUGGAAUUGUUCUUUGGUUAAACUCAGGAAUUACUCAACAGUUAGACUAAUCUCAUUUGUAUUUGUAUGUUUAGAUAUUGUUGGUGGUCAAGUGAUUUCUGAGGGUAGCUCAGUGGCUAUCUCAUUGUAAAUCAAGAUCAACAAGGAGAUUGAAAAGUCACUAGCUUAAGUCAUUUUUUCUUUCUUCCUGGAAAGGUGUAAAAGAAGACAUCAUUAGUUUCGAUUAAUCAACCUUGUAAUUUCAAUUGUCUAUUGUUAAUUGAUGUAAUCACAUGACAAAUCAUGAACCAUAUUCAUUUUUAUUUACAUAUUUUGUUUGGAUUUGGAAAUUAAUGUUAGACCUCCAGAAUUUAUAAAUUUGGGCCCUUUUAGCGUGAUCAAUGGUAGGCCUUGC
rnacentral:lncRNA from 1 species